GGGAGAGAGAAUCAGACUAAUUUCACUGUGGAACUUAGACUAUAAGAUCCUGUCCAAGACCUUUGCCAACAGGGUUAAGUCUGCUUGGGACCUGGGACACAUCACAACUGUGCCUUAUGAGACAGCCACUGUUGCUCCAGGUAAAAGGCACUGACUGCUAUCAACUUAUAGAUCACUAUCAAGAACCUCCCCUCCUCCUUCACUCCAAAGGAAAAAAACCCUAGCUCACUCAGCUAUAAGACAUCCAUUCUGUUCCAGGUUGACAGCUGGCUGACGUUAUUUUUGGUUUGCUGCUGGCGGCAAAUUUAAGUUUGGCGUUUUUCAUAAAUACAAGAAGGACUCAAAUAGACGUUGAGUAUUUUACUUAAAAGUAACCUUCAACCCAACGUCUUUUUUUCGGAGGUCAAAAUGUUUUUGUUGCAUGCAGAAAUGUAAUUUCGUUUUCUCUGCAGGAGUUCAUCAAUUUCAUAAAUGCAACACAUUAUAGUUUGUUUAUACAUAGCAUAAAGGCAAAACAAAACGUUGUAUGCAGUGUUAUUUCAUUUUAAAUGUCAAACGGGUUUUGCGGCUCCCAGUGUUUUCUUUUCUGUGGGAAACGGGUCCAAGUGGCUCUUUCAGUGGUAAAGGUUGCUGACCCCUGUUAUAGACAUACAUUACUGCUGACAUGGACAACUUCCUUUGGGCCUAAUUUUGUGCUGCACAGCAUCAAUUCCAUUAAGCAAGGAUGGACUGUAAUGGGGAGAAGGCUUGUGGAGAUUAUUGGUGCAUUCUGAAAUUAGUAAUGGACAAUAGGAAGGACAUAGUCCAGGGUGACUAUUAACAAAUAAAGUUAAACCAAAAAAUUAAAUUGUACCAAUGAAAGUCUAAAUAAUGAAGUUAUUUAAACAGAGUAGGGGCCACCAUCAAAUCCAGAGGGAGUGCUGCCAAGGUCAGUCAUUGAAGCACCAGAUUUGUACUUGAUCAGGAUGAUGCAGACUGGAAACCAGAAAUGGAUGGCCUAUUUUUAUUUCAAUAUAACAGGCAAAAACAUUUUGACAUAUACAUUGACAAUCACUGAAAACUAGUAAGUCUCUACAACAACAGCAGCUAAGAUGUAGAACCCAGUUUAAAUGAUAUCAAUUGGACAGAAAUCACUGAAAGAGAUACACAAGACUUGCAUUGACUACUGUCACCCUGUGUAGCAUUAAAGCAGCACACCUGUCUUGUCAAAGCGAUCUUUCACCUACAAUAUCUCCUUCUACUGAGGUCGCACUCUGAAGCUAUCUUUCUCAGAAUUCACAAGGAUACCCUUUUAUUCAUUCACAGGAUUACUGAUAUUUUCAUAAUUUAAUGCCCAUUCCAUAUUGUACUGGCUCCAAGAAGCCAACUAGGCUAUUUCAAAGUAUUUAACAGAAUGACUUUCUUAGAUAACAAGGUGAGAAUAAAAACAACUUAUGUACUGAUCAAUAGUUUGGACAUCUGCAUAGUUUGGGAAAUAUACCAAUUGUGGCACUAUGUUAAUCAAUCAGAAUCUGACCUGCUUAAUCCUCUGACCUCUGUGGACUUCACUCCUUCAGAAUGACACUAUCUAAAUUUACCUGAUAUCCUUUAGUUUAGAUCUUUCUGUGUUGGUUUUCCUUGUAAUCAUGUCCAACAACCCAAAAUGUGCAUAUUUUCAGUACCAUGCCUCUACAAGAACACAGAGCAGUUUAUUUGCGACUUACCACGUGUUCCUAUGUUGGUGCAUGCACUUUUGACAGGAUUGAUCAACAAUCUGCUGGAGGAACUUAGUGGAUUCAACAGCAUCUGCGUGUGGAAAGGAAUUGUUGAUGUUUUCGGUUAAAAUCCUGCAUAAGGACUGACAGUGGAGAGGGACCAUUGCAGUAUGGAGGAAUAGUUAGAGGCCAGAAGUGAAUGGUGGACUCAAAGUGUGUAUGUGUGGAUUCUUUCCUGCAUAAGGACUGACAGUGAAGAGGGACAAUUGCCAUAUAAGAGGAGUAGUGAGAUAGAGGCCAGAAGUGGAUGGUAGACUCAAAGUGUGUAUUCUUUUGUACUGGGCCCACAUUUCCUACUUGACGCAGGUUAAUUGUCCUUGUUUUGAUAAGGAUAUCUUUGCUAUUUGUUCACAUACAGGUUUUCUUCCCACCAUCCAGCUCCCCCUAAAUGAUUAAAGAAUAGAUACCACACAAUAUUUAACUGCUAAAUCUCAACCAUCUACUUAAAACCCAUCUCAACUUCAGUUUAAUCAUCUGUACCCUUAACUGACACAUGCACUUCCUUUCCAAAAAUUCUAACCGCAGACCUCCACAAGCAUUGCUAUGUUAGCUGAUUAGUUACAAAUAUUAUUUUUAAAGUUUUAAGUUCUUCCCCUUUAUAGU